rnacentral:rRNA from 1 species
ACAUGCAGAGAACUUUCCAGAGAUGGAUUGGUGGCCUUCGGGAACGUCUGACACAGGUGCUGCAUGGCUGUCGUCAGCUCGUGCGUGAGAUGUUGGGUAAGUCCGUAACGAGCGCAACCCUUGUCCUUAGUUACCAGCACGUUAUGGUGGGCACUCUAAGGAGACUGCCGGUGACAAACCGGAGGAAGGUGGGGAUGACGUCAAGUCAUCAUGGCCCUUACGGCCUGGGCUACACACGUGCUACAAUGGUCGGUACAAAGGGUUGCCAAGCCGCGAGGUGGAGCUAAUCCCAUAAAACCGAUCGUAGUCCGGAUCGCAGUCUGCAACUCGACUGCGUGAAGUCGGAAUCGCUAGUAAUCGUGAAUCAGAAUGUCACGGUGAAUACGUUCCCGGGCCUU